rnacentral:rRNA from 1 species
UACAGAGGUCCCAAGCGUUUGUUCGGAAUCACUGGGCGUAAAGGGCGCGUAGGCGGCCGAUCAAGUCGGGGGUGAAAGCCUGUGGCUCAACCACAGAAUUGCCUUCGAUACUGGUUGGCUUGAGACCGGAAGAGGUAAGUGGAACUGCGAGUGUAGAGGUGAAAUUCGUAGAUAUUCGCAAGAACACCAGUGGCGAAGGCGGCUUACUGGUCCGGUUCUGGACGCUGAGGCGCGAAAGCGUGGGGAGCAAACAGG